rnacentral:rRNA from 2 species
GAGUUUGAUCUUGGCUCAGAGCGAACGUUAGCGGCGGGCUUAACACAUGCAAGUCGAGCGAGAAAAGGGCUUCGGCCCUGAGUAAAGCGGCGGACGGGUGAGUAUCACGUAGGUAACCUUCCUUCGAGCGGGGGACAACGGUCCGAAAGGACCGCUAAUACCGCAUACGUUCCCAGGGACCUCGGUCCUUGGGAGGAGAGCUAGGUAGCAAUAUCCGGCACUCGAAGCGGGGCCUACGCCGCAUCAGCUAGUUGGUGGGGUAACGGCCUACCAAGGCAAAGACGCGUAGCUGGUCUGAGAGGAUGAUCAGCCACACUGGGACUGAGACACGGCCCAGACUCCUACGGGAGGCAGCAGUGGGGAAUAUUGGACAAUGGGCGCAAGCCUGAUCCAGCCACGCCGCGUGAGUGAUGAAGGCCUUCGGUCGUAAAGCUCUGUGGGAGGGACGAACCGCUGCACGUUAAUAUCGUGCAGCAUGACGGUACCUCCUUAGCAA